AAAUACCCCCCCAUUUCUUUUCCAACCCCCACCAACCAACAUCAAUUCUAAUAUUCACACGUCUAAAUAUCAAUCAACCAAAAAACAAAAAAAUAUCCAACUUGAUUAUACGAUAAUUGAUCAUCGAAGAGAAAAACAACAAGAAGAAAGGGUCAAUUCGAUCUGCUUGUUUUUUGUUACCUAAUUGUGUUUGUUUUCUUAAUUCAUACGAUCAUUAUUAUAAUCAAGGCUUACGUUAUUACUUAUAUUGUACUGCCAUAUUAAGUUUCUAUCCUUCAUCUGUGCUGAUAGUAGAAGAUUUCAAUCGGAAUGGUGACAAAUGAGUUCCACAGUGAAUGUUCUAGCUCAACUUCGUGGAAUAGUCAGCCUGAUACUGAGGAUGAUAGGAUGAUAGCACUUGUUUUAACAGAAGAGUAUUCUCAACUGGAUGGUGCUGUUGGUCGGCGUCUCUCUAACCUUGCACCUAUUCCUGUUGUCCCAAGGAUAAAUUCCUAUUUUCCCACCUUGAGUGACGCCAACUUGGAUCACCAGCGGCUUCUUCAGAGACUACAAGUUUAUGGCCUAUACGAAGUCAAAGUUUCCGGUGAUGGAAAUUGUCAGUUUCGUGCACUCUCAGACCAGAUGUUCAAGUCACCAGAAUAUCACAAGCACGUGCGCAAAGAAGUGAUUAAACAGCUAAAGGACAACAAGUCUAUGUAUGAAAGUUAUGUCCCAAUGAAGUACAAGCACUAUUACAAGAAAAUGGCAAAGAAUGGGGAAUGGGGAGACCAUUUAACUCUUCAGGCAGCAGCUGAUAAGUUUGCUGCGAAGAUAUGCCUUUUGACUUCCUUCAGAGACACCUGCUUUAUUGAAAUUAUUCCACAGUACCAGGCACCUAAACGAGCAUCAGAGUUUUCACUGAAGAUGCCUUGAUGUUUUUAACUUUUCCAUAAUGUAACCCUGUGUUUUUGAAUAAGCUAUGGUAAUCUUGACGUUUUGAAAAUAGCUCUGGUUAAGUUUCUGGUCAGAGGUCCACUAUAAUUCCCUUUAUGAACUCCGAGCGGCUCCUCUCCCGCCCAAACCAAGGAAGAAACACUGGUUGUUUUAGAUCCAAGGGACUAUUGAAGUUCGUGUUGAUCAGAAUUAACCCUUUUGUACAUUUUUUUAUAGCUAAUGUACACUACCAUAAAGAUAUUUGAGUUAUUUUACAUGUAGGCUUGCUAUUUUUUGUAAUUGUUUCUGUUCAUAGUCUAAUUUUUGAUGGACUGGGGUAUGCAAGCCUGUGAACUGCACUUAACAGAUUUGUUACCAUACUAUUGAUUCCUUGUUUA